rnacentral:rRNA from 1 species
GACGAACGCUGGCGGCGUGCCUAAUACAUGCAAGUAGAACGCACAGGAUGCACCGUAGUUUACUACACCGUAUUCUGUGAGUUGCGAACGGGUGAGUAACGCGUAGGUAACCUGCCUGGUAGCGGGGGAUAACUAUUGGAAACGAUAGCUAAUACCGCAUAAGAACAUUUACUGCAUGGUAGAUGUUUAAAAGGUGCAAAUGCAUCACUACCAGAUGGACCUGCGUUGUAUUAGCUAGUAGGUGAGGUAACGGCUCACCUAGGCGACGAUACAUAGCCGACCUGAGAGGGUGAUCGGCCACACUGGGACUGAGACACGGCCCAGACUCCUACGGGAGGCAGCAGUAGGGAAUCUUCGGCAAUGGGGGGAACCCUGACCGAGCAACGCCGCGUGAGUGAAGAAGGUUUUCGGAUCGUAAAGCUCUGUUGUUAAGGGAGAACGA